AUUGAACGCUGGCGGCACGCCUUACACAUGCAAGUCGAACGGCAGCGACGGGGGCAACCCUGGUGGCGAGUGGCGAACGGGUGAGUAAUACAUCGGAACGUGCCCGGUAGUGGGGAUAGCUCGGCGAAAGCCGGAUUAAUACCGCAUACGACCUGCGGGUGAAAGCGGGGGAUCGCAAGACCUCGCGCUAUCGGAGCGGCCGAUGUCAGAUUAGGUUGUUGGUGGGGUAAAGGCCUACCAAGCCGACGAUCUGUAGCUGGUCUGAGAGGACGACCAGCCACACUGGGACUGAGACACGGCCCAGACUCCUACGGGAGGCAGCAGUGGGGAAUUUUGGACAAUGGGCGCAAGCCUGAUCCAGCCAUGCCGCGUGCGGGAAGAAGGCCU
rnacentral:rRNA from 1 species